rnacentral:rRNA from 1 species
CAGGCCUAACACAUGCAAGUCGAACGAUACCUUUCGGGGUAUAGUGGCGCACGGGUGCGUAACGCGUGGGAAUCUGCCCUGGGGUUCGGGAUAACCGUUGGAAACGACGGCUAAUACCGGAUGAUGAUGAAAAUCCAAAGAUUUAUCGCCCUGGGAUGAGCCCGCGUCGGAUUAGCUAGUUGGUGGGGUAAAGGCCUACCAAGGCGACGAUCCGUAGCUGGUCUGAGAGGAUGAUCAGCCACACUGGGACUGAGACACGGCCCAGACUCCUACGGGAGGCAGCAGUGGGGAAUAUUGGACAAUGGGCGCAAGCCUGAUCCAGCAAUGCCGCGUGAGUGAUGAAGGCCUUAGGGUUGUAAAGCUCUUUUACCCGGGAUGAUAAUGACAGUACCGGGAGAAUAAGCCCCGGCUAACUCCGUGCCAGCAGCCGCGGUAAU